GGUGGAAUAAUACAAGGUGUUGGAUAUUGACAGCGUUCUCGCUCUAAUCCGCCAUCUUGGCUCCCUUAGCUAUAUCAGUGUUUCCCUCUUGAAAAAACUACAUUUUAUCGCCUUUAAAAAAGUACUAAACUACCUCAUUCCCUAUUCCAAAACUGAUUUGCAAUCAUUGAACAAUUCUUUGACAUUUACUCUAUUCUUAUCGUUGGCAACUGAAAAUUAAAUUAGAAAUUUCAACAUUAAUUCGGCAAAAAAACAUCGGUUUAGAGUUCUCCCCAAGGAUUUGUAGUUAUUUUGGUCGGUGCUUCCUUCCGCUGCAAUUCCGUCUGUGGUUCACUGCCACUGGCCUUGCUUUUUCAACGAUAUAACUGUUUUCUUGUGAUUUUUGCUGCUGCAAUCCCGUCUGUGGUUCACUGCCACUGGCCCUGCUUUUCCAACGAUAUAACUGUUUUUUUGGUAACUUCUACCGCUAAGACUUUGUUGCUUUUUCCCUUUUCCCUAAAAACAUAAUAGUGCUACAAAGCUCAAUAACAAUAUGGAAACAAAUGUUAAUAAGCCACAAUAAUAUUGACAAUAAAUAAUAUUUCACUACGAUUGAAUUUUCUAUUAGUAACAGGGUAGUUAUAGUGAAUGUUUUAUUCGAUAACUAAAACUAUAUUUGAUGUUUGUAGCGAUAAAAAUAUGCCUAAAUCAGCCAAAUACCCUAUGUGGGUCGGCUGAAUCAGUAAAACGUGACAGUAGUUGACUUUUGAGGUUAAUAUAUCGGUCUUGAGUUGGUAAGGUUUUUAAAACAUCCGCAGCUUCCUUUAAAGCAUCGCUGCUAAUUGCCGAGAGGACCAGAUUAUAUUUACCGACAUAAGAUGUGGUCUUGUACGACUGAAAGGUGGCCUCAAUUUGUAGAAACCAUUUGUCUGGCAUCUCAGUUCAGAACGGUCGCAGCUUGCAUUGCGAUGCAAGCUCCACAUCUUUAGUUGGCAUUUUGUUCGAUGAAAUAUUCUCCCCAUCCGUCGAUUCGCCCUUUUGUCGAUUCCGUCAUGUUGUAACGACUCGGGGUCACCACUAAUUUUUUGGUUUUGGAAGUUUGACUAUAAUUAUAGGACAUUGUGUUUAAUAAACUAAAUUACCAUUUAUUGCAUAAGUACUACGUUAUAUAUACUACUUUCGCGAAUUUAGCUUAUCAUAAUAUACCGUUUGUAACUAUUUAUAUGCAAAAUUUUAUAUGAAAAAUAGUACCAAAUUUCGUAAUACUUCGCAAAGCGGGCUUUUUUUCUUCCCGUUUCUCUCGUGCUUCCAUAUUACAACCUUUUGUAAGGGAGCUGUCGACAUGAGCUGUCACUACGUACAACACCUUGUAUAAUUCCACCAUGGUAAUGAUUU